rnacentral:rRNA from 1 species
CCACCCUUUAAUGUUUGAUGUUCUAACGUUGGCCCCUGAUCGGGGUUGCGGACAGUGUCUGGUGGGUAGUUUGACUGGGGCGGUCUCCUCCUAAAGAGUAACGGAGGAGCACGAAGGUUGGCUAAUCCUGGUCGGACAUCAGGAGGUUAGUGCAAUGGCAUAAGCCAGCUUGACUGCGAGCGUGACGGCGCGAGCAGGUGCGAAAGCAGGUCAUAGUGAUCCGGUGGUUCUGAAUGGAAGGGCCAUCGCUCAACGGAUAAAAGGUACUCCGGGGAUAACAGGCUGAUACCGCCCAAGAGUUCAUAUCGACGGCGGUGUUUGGCACCUCGAUGUCGGCUCAUCACAUCCUGGGGCUGAAGUAGGUCCCAAGGGUAUGGCUGUUCGCCAUUUAAAGUGGUACGCGAGCUGGGUUUAGAACGUCGUGAGACAGUUCGGUCCCUAUCUGCCGUGGGCGCUGGAGAACUGAGGGGGGCUGCUCCUAGUACGAGAGGACCGGAGUGGACGCAUCACUGGUGUUCGGGUUGUCAUGCCAAUGGCACUGCCCGGUAGCUAAAUGCGGAAGAGAUAAGUGCUGAAAGCAUCUAAGCACGAAACUUGCCCCGAGAUGAGUUCUCCCUGAGACUUAGAGUCUCCUGAAGGAACGUUGAAGACGACGACGUUGAU